UACGUAGGGGGCAAGCGUUAAUCGGAUUUACUGGGCGUAAAGCGUGCGCAGGCGGUCUUGCAAGUCAGAUGUGAAAUCCCCGGGCUUAACCUGGGAACUGCAUUUGUGACUGCAAGGCUGGAGUACGGUAGGGGGGGAUGGAAUUCCGCGUGUAGCAGUGAAAUGCGUAGAUAUGCGGAGGAACACCGAUGGCGAAGGCAAUCCCCUGGACCUGUACUGACGCUCAGGCACGAAAGCGUGGGGAGCAAACAGG
rnacentral:rRNA from 1 species